ensembl:lncRNA
CUGCUGCUAUGGUGUGAGCAGCAUCUCCUCUACAAUGGCUCUCUGCCAUGCUGACCCACCUUGGAGCCAGCAGUCUAUGGAUUGAAACCUCUAUAAAGUGAGAGAAAUUGAAAUAGAAGAUGUAAUCUCAGUUGCAAACUCACUUGACACUAUAGAAUUUUCCUGUUGCAAUAAAUGUAGACCUAUUCAAAACUGGAAAGUGAUUUUUUUCUGAAGACAGGAAGAGAAGGGAGUGUUUCAUUUUAAAUACAUAUUAAUUAAGCAUAGUAGCAGGUGUGGUGAAUUAACUAAUGGACAAUUUAAAUGGAAAUGCCCAGCUGAACUGAGUCAGCAUGGUUCGGAGCUUGGAAGACUCACCUGAGGAUUGUUGCCAGUGGCAUGAAAGAAGUGGAGAGGAAGAUCAC